rnacentral:rRNA from 1 species
AUUGAACGCUGGCGGCAGGCCUAACACAUGCAAGUCGAACGGUAACAGGAAGCAGCUUGCUGCUUCGCUGACGAGUGGCGGACGUGUGAGUAAUGUCUGGGAAACUGCCUGAUGGAGGGGGAUAACUACUGGAAACGGUAGCUAAUACCGCAUAACGUCGCAAGACCAAAGAGGGGGACCUUAGGGCCUCUUGCCAUCGGAUGUGCCCAGAUGGGAUUAGCUAGUAGGUGGGGUAACGGCUCACCUAGGCGACGAUCCCUAGCUGGUCUGAGAGGAUGACCAGCCACACUGGAACUGAGACACGGUCCAGACUCCUACGGGAGGCAGCAGUGGGGAAUAUUGCACAAUGGGCGCAAGCCUGAUGCAGCCAUGCCGCGUGUAUGAAGAAGGCCUUCGGGUUGUAAAGUACUUUCAGCGGGGAGGAAGGGAGUAAAGUUAAUACCUUUGCUCAUUGACGUUACCCGCAGAAGAAGCACCGGCUAACUCCGUG